rnacentral:rRNA from 1 species
CCCUUAGAUGUUCUGGGCCGCACUCGUGCUACACUGAGUGGAUCAGCGGGUCAGGUUGCGCGAAAGCGUUUCCUAAUCUUUAAAUCCGCUCGUGAUGGGGAUUGACGGUUGCAAUUUUCUGUCAUGAACGAGGAAUACCUUGUAAGCGCGGGUCAUCAUCCCGCGCUGAAUACGUCCCUGCCCUUUGUACACACCGCCCGUCGCUCCUACCGAUUGAGUGGUCCGGUGAGGCUUUGGGAUCUGAGCGGAAAGAGCGUUUCGCUGUUUCUGCUCGGAAAACUCAGUCGAACCUUAUCAUUUAGAGGAAGGAGAAGUCGUAACA